rnacentral:rRNA from 1 species
GAACGCUGGCGGCAUGCCUUACACAUGCAAGUCGAACGGCAGCGGGGGGAGCCUGCUCCCUGACGGCGAGUGGCGGACGGGUGAGUAACACGUAGGAAUCUACCUUAAUUAUAAUAGUUAGUGGGGGAUAACCCGGGGAAACUCGGGCUAAUACCGCAUAAUCUCUUCAAAGCAAAGCGGGGGAUCUUCGGACCUCGUGCUAUGAGAUGAGCCUGCGUCGGAUUAGCUAGUUGGUAGGGUAAUGGCCUACCAAGGCGACGAUCCGUAGCUGGUCUGAGAGGACGAUCAGCCACACUGGGACUGAGACACGGCC